UGUCUAGGUAGUAAAUUUUAAUUUGAAAUUUAAUGGAUCUGGCGGUUAUUAAAUCUUUUUAGAGGAACCUGUAAUUUAAAUGAUAGUCCACGAUUUUUAUUACCUUAAUUUUCUUGUAUAUCUCUGUCGUUGAAUGUAGUGAAAAUUAAUUUUCUUUUUUUUUAUUAAAUUUAUGUUAGGUCAAGGUGCAGUUAUAUUAAGGUUAUUAUGGGUUACAUUAACUUUUGUUUGUGGAUUUUUUUUUUGUGAUUUAUUUGAAUUUGGAUUUAAAAGUAAUUUAUUUUUUUAAAUUUUU
rnacentral:rRNA from 1 species